UCCAUAUCACACUAGGGGGCUGGGAGGAUAAAUAACUUGCAGAGUGCUCGCCCUGUGGAGCUGAGGGCUGUUUGACCUCUGUUUUCAAAGAUUCGUGCUCCUUGUUUUUUUUUGGAAGCAGGUCUCCCAGAGCAGCUCAGGUGGGGGCAUUUCAGAGCAUCCCUGGCUGCGCACAGACCGCUGCGAUCUGUCCCUGGGCCUGCUGCUGACCUGCUGGGAGCCCGGCCCUCUAUUGUGCUUCCCUUUUAUCUCCCUUUGUGGAUUUAAAUCAGGAGCAUUUGGAAGCAGGGACAGCUUCUCAUCGCUGCCUUUUGCACAGCAGUCCUCGGUCUCUGGGGCCAGCGUAAUGAAAAUAAUCCAUAACUCCAGCAGCGAAUUUCUGAUGCGGUGCCAUCGGUGCCUGGUACCAGCCACCUCUGGCAGCGCCGUGGGAACACGGGGCAUCAUCGGAGCUGUUAGUGCCGGUGAUGCACAGCAGAGGAAGUAAACAGGAUGGAGCUGUGCGGGAUUUGCUGCCCUUUUAUUAGUAUAUGGAAAGGGAAGGUGAAGGUGCACGGCUUCUCUGUACCUGGGAGGAAUGGCACUGCUAAUGAGGGCACUUUGUGGCCAAUUAAUGGAGCAUUUAAUCCAAUUAUUGUGUUACUCUUCGUUUGCUACACCCAUACAACUCACCCUCAUGACACCCUCGAGCUGGCACUAUCAUCUUUGUUUAUCAGAUGGGGAAACUGAGGCCAGGAGCAUAUUCCUGGCCCUGUUUCCCAAACCUGAGGUCUAAGCAAACCUCGAAGAUGUGCUGCUUUGUGCUGGGCUGUAGCUGAGAGCUGGGGUCUGGGGAGGUCUCCCAGAGGGACACUGCUGUGACAAGAAUUUUAUUUCUCUUCUGGGUACCUGUUCAGCCUUUCCUCACGACCUGACAUGCAGGGAAAUGUUUUAUUGCAGAAGGCUUCUGCGUGAACCCGCUCCCCCUCCCUCUCUUUCUUCCCCAACCUCUGCAAUGCCUGGCUGAUUCCUUUAAAACAACCCCAAAUUCCCCAGCUGGGGGCUUUGGAGCAGGGCAGGGGGCUGGGUUUGGCUGGGUUCACAGAGUGCUGCUGUGGGUUUGAUGACUUUUAAUUGGAUUGCUAAAUUAGAAAGAGGAGACUGUUGAAGCCGAUCAGAAGCACUGCAGCCUCGGAACAAAUCAAAAUGUGCCUUUUUUGGGAAGCAGAAACACUCCAAGCCUUCUGCUUGUUUCUGCCAUUUCUCUAUUUUGAUUGAAGCAGUUUAUUUCCACUCUGUCUAGUUAAUUACUUGAUAAGUGUUAAUAGGCUGGGACCACUUGGGGGCUGUGAUUUAUGAUCCCCACUAGAUUUAGCUGCACCCUCCCUCACUGUUGCUCCUCUGUCGUGCCCGCUUCUCCCCGCGCUGCCCACUCUUGGAGCCGUCUCUAUUUUUAGUUGCUGAAUCUGAUGAGCUUCCAAGAUUCGUGCAGAAAUGCCUCGAGUUUGUCAAGGACGGCAAAGCUGGGGGAGCCCAAGCCAGCCUGCAAAGAGAACUGCAGGGGGGCCGAAAGAGGAGCAGGGAGGGGGUUUGGGAGGGAAGAGAUGGGAUGGGAGGGGAAAACAAGGCUCAAAAAAUAGAGAUUCUGUUAAAAACCACCAACUGCACUUGCUUUGUCUGCCAUUCUCGUGACUGACUCCGCAGCUUUCAGGACGCCAAGCUGGGGCCUGGCUUGGCAGAGCAGACGUUAUUUACAGUUUAAUACGGAACAAGGUUUAUCUAAACAGUGAGCGCUCGCUGAGUUCCCAGAUAUGCAUGAAAUGUUGCCCUCCACGGGGAAGUGAGCAGAGGUUCGCAGGCACUGAGGCAUGUUUAAUCUGUUUAUACAUCUGAGAGAUCUCCCUCUGGUACCCAGGCAGGUCGGCGUGGGGUUUAGCACGAAAAUCUGUAGUGGUGGGGGUUAGCUGCAGCUGGAUGGGUUCCUCUGAAGGACAGUGGGGUUCCCUGGAAGGCAGCACCUGGGAUGUAGCGGGACAGUCCGGGCUGCUGGCACGUCUCGUCCUGGGCUGCCAGGAGAUGUCAGGACAUCUGGGGACAUGAGGAUGAGGAGCAAAGCACAGGGAGCUCGCAGCAUCUCGCACCAGCCUCCUGCCUUUCUGCUCUCAUGGCUCUUCCUCUGGAAGCUGGUGGAGGGGGGUGAGGCUGUUACUAAGAAGGGUUUUGGGGUCUGGGCACAACCUGGUUGGCAAUCCCCAGACCUCAGGCAUGUGGAGCUGCCCAUCUCCUGGCAAUUUCUGUGCUCAGAUCCCAUCUGGAGCUGCACCACCUGAGGACUAGCUUCAUUUGCUUGCGCCGGUUGUUCCCUGAGACAUUUGCUACUGUGAAAAUCUGUUUGUUUCUGCGUUAUUCCUUCCCUGCGUGUGGCCCAGACAAUGUCUGGGUUUUGCUGCGCUGCCCAGCCCCUGGCUCUUUGCAAAGUGCUUCAUGCGCAGAAAGAAGGCGCGCGGCGUUCGUGCAGCUGUAUCAGCGCUGAGAUCUGGGAAGCCACGGGAGGAGAGGAAGAGGAGAGGAAGGGACACUCUGCUCCCCUCAGAGCCCAGGGAGAAGCUGCCAGCUUCAGGAGGGGCUGAAAGGGCUCACAGCAUCGCUGCUCCCAUCCUGGAGGAGAUGGGGAUGCCAGGAGUAAUUACAGCCCGUGCUGUGCUUUGAAAUCCUCCGAUUCCUCGAGCGUUGGCUCUUUGUGCUCCUACCUGUGUGGCUGCGUCUCCGAGCAAGAAACGCACAGGCACACGUGCGCAGAGCCCUCCGAGGAUGGGUGCACAACUGGUUUAAGAUUAAAUACCAGAUUAGCGCAAUCCUUGGCAGGGAAGCAGACUUGCAGUGUUUGCUCGCUACCUUGCUAUCAUGUGACUGUUCCGGAGCUUUAAAUAAAACAGAUUUGAAACCCUGCUGCAAGGAGUUUUAUGUGCCUAAUGCUGAGCAGUGGGACCGCAGCUGCGGGGUGCAGGGCUGGGGAGAACCCCCCCAGCAGCUGGUGCCAGGUCGGGGAGCAGUAGGCCAGGAACACCGGCUCCUUUCAUUCAUUUCUUUUCCUGUUGCUGCAGAAAGAUCCGUCCACGUGUGCUGUGGGGCUGCUUUAUUAGCGGGGUUGGCUCCAAGGAGCUCGUGGGUCUGAGCUCACGGUGGGAGGAAGGCGCCUUAAUCCCCCAAGGAGCUGUUUGCGGAGUCUCCGCAGCUCCUCCUCCCUGUGCCGGGCUGGGUGCACGAGGUGGUGUUUUACCUCCCGGGGGGCUGAGUGGCACAGACCCAGGUAUCUGCAGCGGGUGGGGAGCAUGAGGGGCAGAGGGAGGGUCUGGAAGUGAGGUUUGUGGCAGCAGAGCAGGGCAAGCUGGACUCCAUGCGCUUUUAUCUACUCUCCUCGAAAACGCACGGAGUGCUUGUGGUGGUGCUCCUUACAAAUGUUGGGCUUCUAGUUUUGGUAAAACUAUUUUCUCUGGAAAAUGAGGUCAUGCCAAGACCCUUUGAUGCCACACUGCCCCUGGUAAAGCUUUCUGUGGGAGUCUGGCCCUCGUUUCUCCUCUCCACCUUUUUGGUGUGUGCUGUUUGCUGUCCCCCUCCGUUUCCUCCGAGGUAGUUGCGUGGAAUUUGAGAAAUGCGGCAUCGGGUGUACAGGAUGUAAUUUGUUUCCUUAAAUACCCUCCCAGGAAUGCCUUCAGCAGGGGACUGGGCAGGGCUGUGCGAUCCCCCAGUGUGGCUUUUGGAGCAGGGACAGCGUGGCACCAGCCGUGGUGGUCGUGGCCAUGGGCAGCAGGUCCAAGCCCCUGCCUCUGGCUUCCCUCAGCCUUUGCUGGUGGCCUUCCUUGCAGCCCUGUGCCAGGAAGAGAGGGCUUGGUAGAUGAAAUUAGGGGUCACAGGGGUAAAGUUGGAGUAUUUUCUGUUAGGGAGAUGGCUGCUCCUGCAACCACUGCAGGAAAGCAGCUCCUGGCUUUCCGUGAGCUCACCUGCAUGGCAGUUGCAGAGCAGCGUACGAGCUCGCAGCCUGGGGAGCUCUGUGUGGGCUGGGGAGGGAAUGAAAGCUCCAAUUACAAAAAGACAAGGAAAGAAAACAGCAAUUAAGAAGCCGGCAGACCCUGCGUACCCCGUGCUGGGUGUGGGUGGCAGCGUGGUGCAGCUUCCUCCAGCGGCACGGAGCCACAGGUGUGCUGGGGGGAGGCUCGGAGGGGCUCGGUGCUCCUGUGCCAGGGAUCUCCUCCUGCAUGGAUCCUCCUCCCACCUGUCGAUAAAGGCAGGGAAGGUGCUGACAGCCUGAGCCGCAGGUUAAACCACUGCUGGAGAGAAAAGAAGGGGCUUUGUGCUGCUGACAGCAAAUUUCGUUGGCAGCUGGAAGCUGGCACCCCCCUGCGCUGGCUGUCUGAGCUGACUGCCAUGGGGGGGACAGCGUUUGGUUGGUGCUUUGGGAGCAUUCAGUGGGCUUGGUGGACGCUUUCUUGUCUGUGCUUGUAUAUUUGGAAGCCUUCCAGCAUUUUGGGACGUGAUGCUGGGAGAGGGCAGCACAGGACCCCGGAUCUCAAGGGGCUCUUGAGGAGCUGGCGGGCGUCCCAGCGAGUUCCUGGUGGCACAGCAGGAAGAGCAAACCUGCCUGGGGUGCAGUCUGGGUGCUGUUAGCUAACUGUCAGCCAGUAACCAGCUGAGUGUCAUAAAAGGCAAGAACCAGGCUGGCUUUUGCUGCGAGUGUUCCUCUCCAGUAAUUACUUGUGCUGCUCUCCCAGCAGCUGCUCGCCACGGCGUGAUGCUUGGCAGGGACGCGCCUGCUGGGCAGGAAAAGGGUGAGAGGAGAACGUGGUUCGUGGAAAAGGGGUGACAGUAGCUAAAUGUCCUGCGGCAGAUCAGCAGCACCUCCAGGAACACACCUAAGCUGUAAAGUGCUGCUGCCCUGACAGCCCCAGCUUGGCUCUUUGCCUCCAGAGAGCUCAUUACAGCCCGGGUCUCCUGGCCGUGGUGUGGCACCGUGGGGCAGCGCUGCCAUCAUGGUGAGUGCUGCCAGUGGGACGUGUGCCCUGCGUGCCCAGCUGACAGCAAAUUCAACCUCAGUAACUCAAACAGCUCCUGCUGCAAGAUGAGCAUCAGAGGGAGCAUCCCCUGGAGCCCAACGCAGCCCUGGCUGGCUCUGAGACAGAGAAAGUCGUGCGGUUGUGCCGAGAUUUGUGCAUCUACUGCUAGUCCUGAGGAUCUGCUCUGCAGCUGGAGCCCAGCAGCAGCAGCACUUCAUCUGCUGGAGCACGGGAUGGGCUGACGGACACCGGGCUGCUCAUCCCCUGGAGACAGUGAUGGUACCAGAGGGAUGCUGGCACGGACACCUUCGGGUGGCUCUGUGCGGCUCCCAGGCAGCAACAAGGCAGGCAUUGAGGUCCUGCUGCAGUGGGCGAGCUGCUUGCUAUCAGCCUAUUGUUGAUGCAGCCGAACACUGGGCACUUCUCUCAGGUUGUCCUCUGCCCAGGAAUAAGCACCCAGUGUUCGUGGCUGCCGGAAUAACGAGGGUCAUUUUAGUGCCCUCCUGGGCGCUGCCCUGAUCUCAUCACGGGCCGGGGAGGGAAGAGCCAAGGGAGAGAUGCCGGCUGCGCCACGCAGGGCUGCGGGCACGGCAGGAGGCAGAACAACCCUCCUUUGUGCGCUCGUGUUACUGGGCUCAUUGUCAGCACUGAGACAACCGGGAGCGGAGCCGCGUCGAGCAGAGCGGCGGCGAUUUCUGCUCCCAGCCGUGCAUCAGGCACCGGUUAUAGGUUCUAGAAAGGCUGGGGCUGCGGGAAGCUGUGUGUAGCGUUCACCUUCCCAGGAUGGCUUUGUGGUUUUGGGCUCAGGGCUGUAUGUGCUCCAUGUGGCUGGAGUUUCACCUGGGCUGUUGUUUCCUCUCCAACAAUGUCCCCUGGCACCAAGGGAAGCUGCUGCGGAGAGGAGGGUGGAAGCCCUCCGUGCGCCUCACAAACCAGGCUGCUGCCUGUGAGUGUCCUGUGACCGAGGAGGAGGCAAAGAAAUGAGAAGGGAGGCAGGAUGCAUCGUCAUUCCCCACUUACAGCUGGGGAAGGCGAGGCAUGCGGAGACAGCUGGGGUGGGAGCCAGCCUCGAGCACUUGCUGCGGGGUCAUUUUUCCUCCCAAGCCUCCCCUUGAUCAGUAGACGUGAGAAGAGAGGGUGGCGAACUCCUGGCUGCUGUAAUCACCUUCCCGGCGCACUGCGUUUGUUGUAAUCAUGGGAGCCAGUACAGGAGAGAGAAAAAUUGUGACACGAGGGUGGAUGGACUCCCUGGAGACCCAAGGUUUCCUUUCCAAUCAUGCCCAGCGCGGUCUCUGCCUUGGGAUGAUGGGCUCGCCGUUUGCUACAGGGCUCCCGUAGAUUUAUAGGAAUUGAUUGCACUCCCUCCCCUGCAGGACCACGACCUCCUGGCGGGGGCUUUGUUUCCUGCGUGGCAGGGAAAUGUCAGGGUCCCUGCAUAGCAGAGCUCAGCAACGGGAGGCAAAUGUGCAGGAGGAGAGCUGGCCUCGCUCUCUCCCCUCACCUCUCCCCUUUUUGGUUGUCAUCGCUGCAAAGAGCCACACGGGAAAGGGUCCAGGUGGCCGCUGUGGGGUGGGCUGCCUGUCCCAGGGGCUCCCAGGAUGCGGCCCCCCUCUCUGCAGGGCUGUGCUGGUUCUCAGGGCAGCUCUGGCCAUCCAAACUGACGUUUCUUGGUGCUUGGGCUGUGCUCUGCUCCGUGGCAUCCCUCCCAGGGGCUGGGAGCUCGUUACCCCGGGGAGGAAUUUGUGCCGACAGCUGAGCAGCCGGGGAGACCUCGCUGUGGUGGUCAGGGGCUGGUUUCCUUCCCUGCCCCUCUGCCCUAACCCCGCUGGGAUUCCCAGCUGCUGCAGCAAAUUCGGCAUCGCCCCGAUGUCUGCUGGAGUUGUCCCCGAGGCCAGCUGCGGUUUCUGCCUGACUCCCAGCCUUGAAGCUCUCCCUGUUCCCUUCAGCACACCUCCAAGGACCUGGCUUUGGCCCUGUAAGGCCAUGAGAGCAGAGGAGGAGGAGGAGGAGGCCGUGGAGGAUGUGUCCCACGGAGGAGCCGCUCUUGCACCGCUUCUCCCUGCCCUCCCUCUGCUCUGGGGCUUGUGCCAGGAGCGAAGCGGGGCCGGCUCCUGCUGCUCCACGGAGAGGGCUCGAGGGCUGCUCCACUGAGCUCUUGGUCGCUCCGACUUCGGUCUCCAGGCCUUGGAUGUGAGCAGGGGCACGUAUUCAGCUGGUGCCUCGGCGCGGUGUUUGCUCGGCCCUCUCGCCACACGCAGCGCUGCACGAUAGCCGUGUUUGCAGAGCAAAUAGGGCUCCACCAGCAGAAUUCCCCAUCGCCCCGAUACUCGCGGAAGCGACCCAAUAGCUAGGGGCAGGGGCUGGAACUGCUGAAUAGGGCUGUUCAUUUUGCCUUGUAAACACAACUGGUAAUCUCGGGGGGUUGAAAAAAGCAGACGAUUCCCUCCAAGCCUUCCACCUUUUCAGCUGGGAAACGAGGGCAGGAGUUUGUUAAAAACGGCAACAAAAAAAAAAAAAAAAAAAAAAAAA